rnacentral:rRNA from 1 species
AUCAAACUUGAGAGUUUGAUCCUGGCUCAGAACGAACGCUGGCGGCGUGCCUAACACAUGCAAGUCGAACGAAGGCCCUAGCUUGCUAGGUGUCCUUAGUGGCGAACGGGUGAGUAACGCGUGGGAACCUACCCAAGUAUGGGGGACAACUACGGGAAACUGUAGCUAAUACCGCAUACGCCCUACGGGGGAAAGGCUUCGGCCGUACCUGGAGGGGCCCGCGUCGGAUUAGUUUGUUGGUGAGGUAACGGCUCACCAAGG